rnacentral:rRNA from 1 species
GACGAACGCUGGCGGCGUGCUUAACACAUGCAAGUCGAACGGAAAGGCCCUGCUUUUGUGGGGUGCUCGAGUGGCGAACGGGUGAGUAACACGUGAGUAACCUGCCCUUGACUUUGGGAUAACUUCAGGAAACUGGGGCUAAUACCGGAUAGGAGCUCCUGCUGCAUGGUGGGGGUUGGAAAGUUUCGGCGGUUGGGGAUGGACUCGCGGCUUAUCAGCUUGUUGGUGGGGUAGUGGCUUACCAAGGCUUUGACGGGUAGCCGGCCUGGGGGGGUGACCGGCCACAUUGGGGCUGAGGUGCGCCCCAGCCUCCUGCGGGGGGCACCAGGGGGAAAUUGGGCCCAGGGGGGGGAGGCGGGACGCGGAGCCCCCGCGGGCGGAAGGGCGGCCUUCGGGUGAUAAACCGCUUGCGCCGUUAACGAGGGUUGAGUGACGGUAAUGAAUAAGAAAGCACCGGCUAACUACGUG